rnacentral:rRNA from 1 species
GACGAACGCUGGCGGCGUGCUUAACACAUGCAAGUCGAACGGAAAGGCCCUGCUUUUGUGGGGUGCUCGAGUGGCGAACGGGUGAGUAACACGUGAGUAACCUGCCCUUGACUUUGGGAUAACUUCAGGAAACUGGGUCUAAUACCGGAUAGGAGCUCCUGCUGCAUGGUGGGGGUUGGAAAGUUUAGGCGGUUGGGGAUGGACUCGCGGCUUAUCAGCUUGUUGGUGGGGUAGUGGCUUACCAAGGCCUUGACGGGUAGCCGGCCUGCGAGGCUGACCGGCCACGUUGGGACUGAGAUACGGCACGGACUCCUACGGGAGGCAGCAGUGGGGAAGGUUGCACAAUGGGCGGAAGCCUGAUGCAGCAACGCCGCGUGCGGGAUGACGGCCUUCGGGUUGUAAUCCGCUUUCGCCUGUGACGAAGCGUGAGUGACGGUAAUGGGUAAAGAAGCACCGGCUAACUACGUG